UUUUGAAACCCCAGCUUCAACAUUCAUUCAUUCUUCCAUUUAUUCCUCCUCCUCCAGACUGUUAUACAUAAGAAAAAUGGAGACAAGAUUGAAAUGCCCCAGCGGGCAAAAAUGCCCAAAGAAAUGCCACCAAAGAAGGAGGGCUUCACCGAUGUCUUAAUUUCUGCAGAUUACAUGGAUGCUUUAAUGGAAUUGUUCGCAGAUGACUUCCGCUGUGAUGUCAACAAGGCCAAGGUUUCGUCACUCACGAUUGGCAAGUUGGCAAAAAUGAUCCCAUCGAUCUCUAAAUCGCAGCCUGCAUCGAAGGCAGUGAAGGCAGAAAUAAGACUGAAAGAACCGGUCAAGCAUUCCUUGGGGCCCAAUGGAAGCUACAUGACGGUCCACUCCUCCGUGAACCUCAUUGCAGAGCCAAAGGGCAAAAUUCUCUUCUCCUUCGAAAUGGUAGGCUCUCAAUUGAUUUUUCUUUGGCAAGA
rnacentral:lncRNA from 11 species